rnacentral:rRNA from 1 species
AUUGAACGCUGGCGGCAUGCCUUACACAUGCAAGUCGAACGGCAGCGGGGACUUCGGUCCGCCGGCGAGUGGCGAACGGGUGAGUAAUGUAUCGGAACGUACCAUUCAGUGGGGGAUAACUAUCCGAAAGGAUAGCUAAUACCGCAUAUUCUGUGAGCAGGAAAGCAGGGGAUCGCAAGACCUUGCGCUGAUUGAGCGGCCGAUAUCAGAUUAGCUAGUUGGUGAGGUAACGGCUCACCAAGGCUACGAUCUGUAGCGGGUCUGAGAGGAUGAUCCGCCACACUGGGACUGAGACACGGCCCAGACUCCUACGGGAGGCAGCGGUGGGGAAUUUUGGACAAUGGGCGCAAGCCUGAUCCAGCCAUGCCGCGUGAGUGAAGAAGGCCUUCGGGUUGUAAAGCUCUUUCGGCCGGGAAGAAAUCGCAUCAGCUAAUACCUGGUGUGGAUGACGGUACCGGAAUAAGAAGCACCGGCUAACUACGUGCCAGCAGCCGCCGUAAUAC